rnacentral:rRNA from 1 species
CAGUAGCCACGGUAAUACGUAGGCGGCAAGCGUUGUCCGGAAUUAUUGGGCGUAAAGGGCUCGCAGGCGGUUUCUUAAGUCUGAUGUGAAAGCCCCCGGCUCAACCGGGGAGGGUCAUUGGAAACUGGGGAACUUGAGUGCAGAAGAGGAGAGUGGAACUUCACGUGUAGCGGUGAAAUGCGUAGAGAUGUGGAGGAACACCAGUGGCGAAGGCGACUCUCUGGUCUGUAACUGACGCUGAGGAGCGAAAGCGUGGGGAGCGAACAGGAUUAGAUACCCCAGUAGUCCCUGUCUCUUAUAC